AUGGCGGAGGAUGGCGACUGCUGUGUUGCGGUGGCGGUGGCCGAGGCGGCGGGCAUCAUCUGCUCGCUCCGCGCGGCCGACCUCGCCGGGUGGACGCCGCCCUGGAAGACCAGCGGGCCGCCGUCGUCCGAAGCCGCGACGAAGGAGGAGACGGCCUGGCCGGCGGUGGCGCGGGGGAAGCGGACGCGCGCAUCGCGCUCCGGCUCGGCGGCCAACAAGAACAAGGGGAGAUGGGCACGCGGCAGCCCCGCGUCUCCGCUCGACUACAGCGGCGGGUCCGGCUCCGGCGCGUCCACCAGCGGCGGCGAGGACGGCGCCUUCUGCUCGCCGCCGGCGACGGUCGCCAUCGCCGCCCCAGCUUCUUCCUCCUUGGCCAAGGUUGGCUCUGCCGGAGGAGCACGGCGCCCGUUGAUCCUGCCGGUGCCGCCGCCCCGCACCGCCGGCCAGAGGUCGCGGAAGAAGAUGAGGCUCCCGGAGGUGCAGCAGCUGGUGCAGUCCCUGUCGGCAGAGAACGUCGGCCUUCGCCAGGAGAUGGAGUCGCUGCAGAGGGCCUGCAGGGCGCUGUCCAAGGAGAACGGCAGACUAGAGACAAGGCUGGAGCAUUCUUCUUCGUCAAGCAAGCGGAGGAGGGUCGGGUCCGAAGAGGAGGAGCGGCGACAAAGGAAGCCGCAGCAAGCCGGUGGCGGCUUCGUGCUCCCUGACCUCAACUUUCCGGCGCAGGAUGUCGCCGACGCACCAGCGGCGGCUCACUGA
rnacentral:rRNA from 1 species